GAUGAACGCUGGCGGCGUGCUUAACACAUGCAAGUCGAACGGUGAACACGGAGCUUACUCUGUGGGAUCAGUGGCGAACGGGUGAGUAACACGUGAGCAACCUGCCCCUGACUCUGGGAUAAGCGCUGGAAACGGCGUCUAAUACUGGAUAUGUGACGUGACCGCAUGGUCUGCGUUUGGAAAGAUUUUUCGGUUGGGGAUGGGCUCGCGGCCUAUCAGCUUGUUGGUGAGGUAAUGGCUCACCAAGGCGUCGACGGGUAGCCGGCCUGAGAGGGUGACCGGCCACACUGGGACUGAGACACGGCCCAGACUCCUACGGGAGGCAGCAGUGGGGAAUAUUGCACAAUGGGCGCAAGCCUGAUGCAGCAACGCCGCGUGAGGGAUGACGGCCUUCGGGUUGUAAACCUCUUUUAGCAGGGAAGAAGCGAAAGUGACGGUACCUGCAGAAAAAGCGCCGGCUAACUACGUG
rnacentral:rRNA from 1 species